rnacentral:misc_RNA from 1 species
AAGACGAUUAGAUACCGU